rnacentral:misc_RNA from 1 species
AAAUGCGAUAAGUAGUGUGAAUUGCAGAAUUCAGUGAAUCAUCGAAUCUUUGAACGCACAUUGCGCCCCUUGGUAUUCCAUGGGGCAUGCCUGUUCGAGCGUCAUUUGUACCCUCAAGCUCUGUUUGGUGUUGGGUGUUUGUCCCCGUCUCCGCGCGUGGACUCGCCCCAAAGUGAUUGGCAGCCGGCGUACUGGUCCCGGAGCGCAGCACAUGUCGCGCAAACGAGUGCCUUGGUACGGCGGCGUCCAUAAGCCCCUCUCUCACGCUCUUGACCUCGGAUCAGGUAGGGAUACCCGCUGAACUUAAGC